rnacentral:rRNA from 1 species
GGAUUAGAUACCCUGGUAGUCUACGCCGUAAACGAUGUGCACUUGAUGGCGGUCCCGUUCGGGAUCGCUGUCGGAGCUAACGCAUUAAGUGCACCGCCUGGGGAGUACGCCGGCAACGGUUAAACUCAAAGGAAUUGACGGGGGCCCGCACAAGCGGUGGAGCAUGUGGUUUAAUUCGAUGAUACGCGAGGAACCUUACCAGGGCUUGACAUAGACGUGGCGUUCGUGGAGACACGGAUUUCCUUUCGGGGACGCGUUUACAGGUGUUGCAUGGCUGUCGUCAGCUCGUGCCG